rnacentral:rRNA from 1 species
GUGGGGAAUAUUGGACAAUGGGCGAAAGCCUGAUCCAGCCAUGCCGCGUGUGUGAAGAAGGUCUUCGGAUUGUAAAGCACUUUAAGUUGGGAGGAAGGGCAGUAAGUUAAUACCUUGCUGUUUUGACGUUACCGACAGAAUAAGCACCGGCUAACUUCGUGCCAGCAGCCGCGGUAAUACGAAGGGUGCAAGCGUUAAUCGGAAUUACUGGGCGUAAAGCGCGCGUAGGUGGUUUUGUAAGUUGGAGGUGAAAACCCCGGGCUCAACCUGGGAACUGACUCCAAAACUGCAUGACUAGAGUACGGUAGAGGGUAGGUGAAUUUCCUGUGGAGCGGUGAAAUGCGUAGAUAUAGGAAGGAACACCAGUGGCGAAGGCGACUACCUGGACUGAUACUGACACUGAGGUGCGAAAGCGUGGGGAGCAAACAGGAUUAGAAACCCGAGUAGUCC